AUGCGGAAGUUUAAAUGCAAUUGCUUUCUCUUCCAUUGCUUAAGACUUAGUCGAGCGCAGCGUUGCCAUCAAAAUAAGAAGAUAGACACUGGAAAUCAUGUGGUUGUCCUUGAUAAUGUUAUUGGUAAAACAAAAUUGUUUUGCACUAGAAUGAAAACAGGUAUAGCUUCCAAGUUCCUUAUCAGUCAUGUCAUCGGAAAAAGCUUCUCAAUUGAUGGCACAAAUCCACUUCAAUGCACCCUGCUAGAGGCAAGCAACGACAUGUUGACCCUUAAAAUUUUCAGUCACAGGAAUAGCGAGAGGAUGGUUGCCACACUUGGAAUUAAAGUUGCAGCCAAGAUACCUCCCAAGAUAAUACACCACCGGCUAGAUUAG
rnacentral:rRNA from 1 species